UUCCAUGGUGGCGGCUGCUCCAAAGCAAUUCAUCAACUGUGAGCUACAAUUCUUCCAAAAAUCACAAAAACGUUCCAUCUCUCAAGCAAAAUAAAAAAAAAUGGCUAAAAACUAAAAACCUCCUCAAGAAAACGUUAAAGAGCCAAAAAAUAAAAACAAAAGUAACGAUGGCUGCAACAUAUCUCUCAUUCAUCCCAUCAUCCAAAAUCCAAUAAAAUCCACAUAGUUCAAAAGCUUCCCAAAAUAAAACCGUGAGUGUGGCUUCCUCUUCUCUGGAAACGUU
rnacentral:lncRNA from 1 species